CUCAAAACAGAGGUGAGGUUUUGCCUUUCUGUGGUUGCUUUCAGUGUCGAGAACCUGGCCCACCUUCCUCAACUGUUGUAGUGGGGCUAAAGGGUGGCCCCCGAAAGACGCGCCAGCACCGAAUGUUACCUUACACGAGCGAGGCAAAGGCACGUGUUUGCCAGAUGGGAGAGGAGAAGGUGAUAUGAAGGCUCAGACAGAGAUUGGAAUACUACAGUUGCAAGCCAAGGAACAGCAGAGAUUGCCAGGAGCCAGCCGAGCCGGAGGAGGCAAAACACAGAUUCUCCCCUAGAACCUCCAGAGGGAGCAUGGCCCUGCUGACCUUGAUUUCAGACUCUGGCCUUCAGAACUAUGAGAAAACACACUUCCGUUGUUUAAAGCCACCCAGCGUGUGGUGAUUCGCUAUAGCAGCCCCCAAAGCGAAUGCAACCAUGAAGAAAAUUAUUGCAGAUUCUGAGAAGUAAUCCAACUUGCCCCACCUCAGGGCCUUUGCACAUACUGACCUUUCCACUGCCAUUCUCUGUCCCAGCUCACUGCAUGCCCAGCUCCUUCUCAUAAUUCCUGUUUCUGCUCAAAUGUCACCUCCCUUCCUCCCAAGGGAGGCCAAAAGACUUCCCUGACCCCCAGUUCCUAAUAGAAGGAGCUACCACUCACCCUCUAGGCCUUACCACAUUUUACGGUUCCCUUGUCCUUACCAUAAUAUAAAAUGAUCUGUCAGUUGAUCCACUUAUUGUCUACAUGCGAGUGGGAACCUGAUCUGUCUUGUUCAUGGCUAUAUUCCCAGUGCCAAGGGGCUAAAUAAGUAUGUGUUCAAUAAAAGGAAUUAAUGUUAUUUGAUACUAAAACACAGAGAAACGCAACCUCUGUAUGACAAAACU